AGAUCUGACUCUGCAGCCAUCCCUCACCACUCCUGCUUGGACAUCGCCAGGCACAGCUAGAGAAGGCAGAAAAAGUUCCUCCAACCCCUUCCCCAGGCACCUAUGCAGGCUCCACACUCCUGCCUGAACAGCUAUGAUUUUAAAAGCCAUCGAGUCAUGAAGAGAAGUGUGCCAGUGUGUGCCGGACUCAGUUUCCCCUGUGCACCAUUUUCCCCAGUCAGCCCUGCACCUUCCAAGAAGUAUGACCCGAAGGCGCACCCUAGUCAGCUCAGGCCCCACAUUCCUGCAAAAAUCAGGCUCCAGGGCUCCCUCAUCGCAGCAUGGGUUCUGCAGGAAGCCCCAGUGCCAAGUGGCUUUCAAAACUAGCCUCAGCUAGCAACGUGGCGGCUAUUUCAGCGACGGACAAAAGCAGCUCCCCCAGCCUCCCUUGGUGUUUGUGGUCCCUUUUGUUCCAGCCAGACACCAUGAGGAAAAUGCAGCAUCCAUUAGGAAACAAAGGCUCGGGCAGGCUCUCUCCAGUCUGAAAAGCCCACUUUCACUUGAGUUUCAGGUAAUUUGCUGUGCAGCCUGAAUUCAUUAGACAAAUUAGGCUCACUUGGACUUCAGGUGUCUCAAUUACCUGGGUGAUUUGCAUGUUUAUGAGUGAAGGGGACUGCACAGUAGCAGAAAGCAAAUUUGAAAUCCUGACUUUGGGAGCCCUGGAGCCCCUCCGCUGCACCUUUACUUUCCCUACCAGAAAGGAGGAAGGACAGAGUAGCUCCCCAGCAAGCAGAUCAGCGGAUGUCACAUAACCACAGGGCAGUCAUCAGGGAGCACGACCCCUCCCCAGGGCCACGCAGGCCUUAGUUUCUCCUUCUGGAUCUGCCAGCAAAACAAAGGUAACUGCCUAAGAACAGCUUCCAAAGGUGGAAGAAGAAAGUGAGAAAAUCUAUAUUAUUGAUCGUUCAUACCUAAGGAAAAGAGGCAAGAGGCUUCCCAUAGCACAGCUGGGAGGUGUUACUGAGAGGUUAAGAAUUGCCAAAAAAGACCUGUGCCUUCCCUCUGAUAUUCCCUGGGGUUAGUUCUUCUCUCCUCCUUCUGCCAAGAGACCACUGAGAAGUGCCUCAGAAGAGCUAAGGGCUGCCCCAGGUGGUUAUGUGGGAAGCUGGAGAAUUUCCCAAAAAGCUUCGUGAAGAGCUUGAAACCCCAGAAGAGAUCCCUUGGGGAUGGGAGUUGCUCCAGGACAGAAGAAGCAGUGAGUCAAGGCUUGAGGAUUUGGAGACUAAGCAACUCUCAAGAGAAAGUUCUGCUGGGCUGGUCUGUCCCUGCAGCGUGAGUGCCAGAUAGAGGCCUGUUCUGGUGUCCUGACAUGCUACAAUUAUGCAGAUUUACACAGCAAGCGUAAGGCCUUCUCCGCAUGUAUGGCUUCCCCAUUCCCAACCAGACCAUGAACUUCCUAAGGAAAGUGACCGAAUUCCGCACUUCUCAACCCUCGCGGCGGGGCAGGGAGAUGGUAGGUAACCAUGUCACAACCAGUUCCUCCCAGAGGAUUCAACAUCACUGCUCAUCUCCUCAGACCAAUCAAGAGGAUUGGUCAUUGGGAAGACUUCCUGAGCUGUGACCACUCUCUGGAACCCAGAACUUCCUGCUUCACAUGGACUGGAUGAAUGUCUAGGGGCACAGCUGUUUCCAGACACCUGGUUUGUCUCCAGGAAGAUUCCAUGCAAUUAUGUGUUCCCUGUUCCAGGGGAGCCCACAACUUGAUCAGGGGACAGACUGUAUCUUCUGUCAACUCAAGAACUAAGACUCAAAUCAGGAUGAAGAAAUAAAGAGAGGGUGAAAUCAUUCUGGGAAGUUUCCUUGAAAGGGGUGAGUCAUAAAGAGGGGGUGGGUGCAGGUGAGGAGGAGGAAGAUUACAGACUGCAGGGAUGAGCAAAUACCAUUUCCCAGGAUUUCCUGAAGUUUUUCUCCCCUCCCAAAGCCCAAAUCUGCCUCUUUUUGGGGCCCAGCGAGGACUCUGGAAGACAGAGAUCCUAGAAAAAGCAGAGGGAAAAGAAGAGGAAGAGAACAUGGAGAAACCGCCAGGGAACAGAACUCUUGGUCCAGGAGGCGCAAACCACGAGUGCAAUUAGU
rnacentral:lncRNA from 1 species